rnacentral:rRNA from 1 species
GUCGCGGUUAAACCUAGAGGACAUGUAUUAAUCAGUAGAGGUCUAAAGCAUUAUAAGCAUGGUAUAAGAAUACUAGAGUAUAAAAGAAAGAAGAAAUAUCACACAAUUUAUACAAUGAGAGAUGAAAUUCAUUGAGAGUAUAAGGAGUAUGAAGAAAUGAAAAUAGUGAUAAUAGAAUUUAUACUGACAUUGAUUAAUGAAGGCAUAGGGAUCGAAGUAGAUUAGAUACCUACCUAGUCUAUGCAGUAAACGAUGAAUACCAAUAUAAAUAAUGAAUAAAAAGUUUAUAUAAAGCGAAAGCAUAAGUAUUCCNCCAGGUNAGUAGACCCGCAAGGGUGAACUCCAAGACAAUAGGCAGUUUCAGUUGUAGGUAGUGGAUUGUGUUAU